rnacentral:pre_miRNA from 1 species
CAAGUAAUCCCUCCGUUCCAAAUUACUUGUCAUAAAAAUGAAUGUAUCUAGAUAUAUUUUAGUUGUAGAUACAUCCAUUUCUGUAACGAGUAAUUUAAAACGGAGGGAGUACAAG